rnacentral:rRNA from 1 species
UACGUAGGGUGCAAGCGUUAAUCGGAAUUACUGGGCGUAAAAGCGUGCGCAGGCGGUUUUUGUAAGUCUGUCGUGAAAGCCCCGGGCUCAACCUGGGAAUUGCGAUGGAGACUGCAAGGCUUGAAUCUGGCAGAGGGGGGUAGAAUUCCACGUGUAGCAGUGAAAUGCGUAGAGAUGUGGAGGAACACCGAUGGCGAAGGCAGCCCCCUGGGUCAAGAUUGACGCUCAUGCACGAAAGCGUGGGGAGCAAACAGG